GCGAUUGUAGUGUAGUGGACUACAACGGUCGUAACGGGUAACGGAGAAUUAGGGUUCGAUUCCGGAGAGGGAGCCUGAGAGACGGCUACCAUUUCUAAGGGAAGCAGCAGGCGCGCAAAUUACUCAAUCUCAAUUCGAGGAAGUAGUGAACAAAAAUAACAAUGCGAGGCGUCAAUGACGUCUUGCAAUUGGAAUGAGUACAAUCUAAAUAACUUAACGAGUAUCGAUUGGAGGGCAAGUCUGGUGCCAGCAGCCGCGGUAACUCCAGCUCCAAUAGCGUAUAUUAAUGUUGCUGCAGUCAAAAAGCUCGUAGUUGAAUCUUGGAGGCGUUUGUAAUCUGGUCCGCCUCGAAGGCGAGUACCGAUUACGACCCUCUGUAUCUGGUAACAGCGCACUACUGUGCUUAAUUGUGCGGUAGUUUCAGGAAGAGGAGACUCGACUUGAAGGUUGGGAGUAGUGUCGGGGAAAUGGGGUUUAACGCUUCGUUUUCACGCGGUGCUUCUGGCAGUGUUUUACCUAUUUUACUUUGAAAAAAUUAGAGUGUUCAAAGCAAGGCGUUUUUGCCUAUUGAAUAUUGCAGCAUGGGAUAAUAGAAAAAGAUAGUCUGUCUUAUCUUGUUGGUUUUUUAAGAUGACAAUAAUGAUAGAAGGGGAUGGUUGGGGCGGUCUGUAUUGCAACGUCAGAGGUGAAAUUCUUAGAUUGUUGUAAGACAAACUACUGCGAAAGCUUUCCGCUAGGACAUAUUCAUCAAUCAAGAACGAAAGUUGGGGGAUCGAAGACGAUCAGAUACCGUCGUAGUCUCAACCAUAAACAAUGCCGACCAAGGAUUGGAGAGUGUUAAUUUAUAAUGACUUCCCCAGCACUUUGCGAGAAAUCACAAGUCUUUGGGUUCCGGGGGGAGUAUGGUCGCAAGGCUGAAACUUAAAGGAAUUGACGGAAGGGCACCACCAGGCGUGGAACUUGCGGCUUAAUUUGACACAACACGGGGAAACUUACCAGGUCCAGACAGCGUUAGGAUUGACAGAUUGAGAGCUCUUUCAUGAUUCGUUGGGUGGUGGUGCAUGGCCGUUCUUAGUUGGUGGUGUGAAUUGUCUGGUUGAUUCCGUUAACGAACGAGACCUUGACUUACUAAAUAGCGGGUGGAAGAUUGUGCGCUAAAGCUGUUGAGUCGGUAUUUUCGGAAGGAUCCGUUCCCCGUGAACAGUUGUACUUGCAGUUGCUUUUCUUCCAUGCAGCUUCUUAGAGGGACUAUUGGUGACAAGCCAAUGGAAGUUCGAGACAAAAACAGGUCUGUGAUGCCCUUCGAUGUUCUGGGCCGCACGCGUGUUACACUGAUAAAGUCAACGAGUUUAGAACCUUCUCUGAGAGGAGUGGGUAAUCUUUUGAAACUUUAUCGUGAUGGGGAUAGAUGAUUGCAAUUAUUCAUCUUCAACGAGGAAUGCCUAGUAAGCGCGAUUCAUCAUAUCGCGUUGGCUGCGUCCCUGCCCUUUGUACACACCGCCCGUCGCUCCUACCGAUUGAAUGCUCCGGUGAAAUCUCCGGAUUGCGAGAAGCUAACCUUUGCUGGCUUUGUCGGCAAAAACUCUUGUGAAAAGUUGAUUAAAUCUUAGCAUUUAGAGGAAGGAGAAGUCGUAACAAGGUU
rnacentral:rRNA from 1 species